GAUGAACGCUGGCGGCGUGCUUAAUACAUGCAAGUCGAGCGAACAAACGAGGAGCUUUCUCCUCUGACGUUAGCGCCUGACGGGUGAGUAACACGUGGAUAACCUACCUAUAAGACAGCGACCACUUAGGGGAGCCGGAGCUCAUAACGGCUAAUAUAUUGAACCGCAAGGUUCCAACGUGAAAGACGGUUUUGUUGACACUUAUAGAUGUAUCCGCGCCGCAUUGGCUAGUUGGUAAGGUAACGGCAUUACAAGGCAGCGAAGCGUAGCUGGACUGAGAGGGUGAUCCGCCACACGGGAACUGAGACACGGUCCAGACUCCUACGGGAGGCAGCAGUCGGGAAUCUUCCGCAAUGGGCGAAAGCCUGAUGGAGCAAAGCCGCGUGAGUGAUGAAGGUCUUCGGAUCGUAAAGCUCUGUUAUUAGGGAAGAAGAAAAGUGUAAGUAACUAUGCACGUCUUGACGGUACCUAAUCAGAAAGCCACGGCUAACUACGUG
rnacentral:rRNA from 1 species